rnacentral:rRNA from 1 species
UACGGAGGGUGCAAGCGUUAUCCGGAUUUACUGGGUUUAAAGGGUGCGUAGGUGAGCCUGUAAGUCAGUGGUGAAAUCUUCAAGCUUAACUUGGAAACUGCCAUUGAUACUAUAGGUCUUGAAUUAUCUGGAGGUAAGCGGAAUAUGUCAUGUAGCGGUGAAAUGCUUAGAGAUGACAUAGAACACCCAUUGCGAAGGCAGCUUACUACGGAUUGAUUGACACUGAGGCACGAAAGCGUGGGGAUCAAACAGG